rnacentral:lncRNA from 1 species
GGGAGAAACCUGCCGCGGCUCUCCGCCUCUUUGUCUGCUCUGGGACUUGGAACAAAAGGGGGAACUCUGAUGAACUCCUUCUCCCGCUCCCUGGACGCCCGGGUAUCUCUUUCUCGCAACUUUGUCAAGGCGACUUUCUCCGCUGUCAGGCUGCGCAAAAGUGUCCCAGCGCUUCGCAGGCUGCAACAAUGGAAACAAUGUUCCUUCAAAGUGGGACGAAGUAGAGGGAGAAGGUGUCGUUGCCAGCAGCUCCAAGUGUCAUAUCAGGCACUUAGCAGAAGUACUUCCUACUGAAAUGCCUUGGGAUUACUCUUAUUGGAAAUAUACCUACCAGCCAGUAGCAUGGAGAUGCCAGGACCCCAGCAAGUUAGCACUGGAUGAAAUACCAUCAACUUCUUCAUUUAGAGUUUCUUCAGAUAAAGUGUUGCGGGUUCUGACAAGGCUCUCAUUAUGUGGAUUAUUGGAGUGUGAUGCCCAGGAAUUCUCUACUUAUAGAAGGUAUGUUUCUUAGACACCCACAAGCACUUCCUUUUGGGCCUGAUACUUAAUGCCGCUGGAGGACUGUCUCCUUGUUUUGAGCCGUUGCCUGACCAAGUGAUUUAUAACUUUCUGUUUCCUUCUUGGGGACUGUUUUGUAGACAGUUUCUCAAGUGAAAUGAUGACUUGGAAGUGUUGAUGAAGUUUAUUGAUUUUUUUUAAAACUAUAUAUCCGUCAAUAUCUGCACAUGUAAUGAAUGUUGAUUUAUGUAGAUAUAUGUACAUUUUAUGUCAGUAAUGGGCCCGAUGUCUUCAACAGUCCAUACCUUAUUUUAUCUGUGGCUGGUAUCCACAGCCGACAUUUUCUUUGAACAGAACAGGCGUGCUUUAUGUUCUUGUCGUUAUUAUUUGCAUUUUGGCAGUUUAUUUUGUAAAUAAAGUCCAGAAGUGACCCCCAAAUAAAUAUAUUUCUAAUGGUAGGAUGUCAAUACAAAAUGCAACGAGUUCUCUUAGAAUGAAAGGUUUGGCCAUGUCAUAACCAAAGGGCUUGCGGAUGUGUUUAACCUUCAUGGCAGAUUCCCAAGAUUUUGUAUUCCCUUUUGAAUACCUUACAGGUAAUUUCUGUUCAUCUCUGGGAAUGCAGCUCAGCGUGUUGUCAUCUCAAUAGCCACAUGAAAAGUUGUUUCCCUACAGGGUUUCCUGCCCUUGUGGAAGUGGUUUGCCCUGAAAGCUCAGUUUGGUCAAAAAAAAAAAAAAUUAAUUGGGAAAAAACUUACCACAUUAUGAGUAAAAUAGAAUGAAUUUGGGAUUUGUGUAAAACUAGACUUUGAAACCCUUCCACACUUCUUUUGUUUAUCACCUAUAAAACAAAGGUUUAAAUGAACUUCCGAAAUCCUUCAUCUCGAAGAUGCUCCGUUUUGUUCCUGAAAUUUAGAUAUGUUUGUUCUGCAGUUAAUUUUCCAGUUGUUAAACAAGAGAGGGAAGGCCCUGGAGUCUCACUCCUGUGCUUGAUUGCCGCAGAAUAUACUUUCAGCAAAGUGUGCUAGACAGAGGUGUCUGUGUUGCCUGGCUUUCCCUGGAAGUUCAUCUGCUAGAGUAUUUUUCUCAGAGAGGACGGUGUGGCUCUCAGGAAGACCGUUACCCUUCUGAAGUUACUGUAUGGGAAUUUGGUUUAAUGGCUACCCGGUGUGGGCUCAAAAGUUUAGUGUUGGAAUGAGUCCCAGCCCACUCGAUUGCUCUCCGUGACUUCUUUCUUGCCCAGGUUGCUUGAUUUCCUUGAAUCUUACUUAGUUUUGUCAUUUGUGAAGUAGGUACCCUGACACCUGUCCCAUACGGUUAUAAGAAGCAUGUAUGUGGGACUGGGAUGUCCGUCAGUUAUAGAAUUCUUUCCUAGCAUCAUGAGACCCUGGGUUCAAUUGCUAACACUGCAAAUCACAACAGAACUCCCAAAGCAUAUAUGUUUGGAAAAAAUGUAACAGGGGGCUUAGCAUUAAUAAACUUAAUAAUCGAUAUUACUAUUAACUUACUCAAUGAGUUAGUGAUGUUUGGAAGCCUCAAACUUUCUUAACUGGCUUACGAAAUAUAAACCAGGUCCAACAGAACUAUUCACUAAAAUAAUCAAAAUUAAUUUGGAUGUGAGUGUGCACAAGCUCGAGCAUGCCUUUCUCUGAAAACAUAUUCUGUCCAGUUCCGUUGGCCAAUCAAUUGCAGGUUAAUUUGCUUCAGCAAAUAUCAGUUAUGCAUAAUUAUGAGCUAGCCUGCUGCUGUGAGGCCUGGCCUCACCCUUGGAUAAGUGGCUCUUCCUUCCCAGGAAGAUGACAAUGAGUUUCAGAAUUAGUUUACUCAGAUUCUGUUUUGUUCUUACACUUAUCUGUUGAUUUAUUCUGUGUUGGAGCAGGCAUGUGUGUGUGGCAGUCAGAGAACAUCUUGCUACAAGUCCUUUCACCUUGUAGCUGUCUGGGGAUUGAACUCAAGUCAUGAGGUGUAGUGAUAAGUGAGAGCCUUUAUUGGGUGAGCCACCUCACUGCAUGGGUGUCUACUCUGAAAGUUGUUAAUGAUGAGGAGGUCUUGGCUAUAGCUUUAAAAUUUGGGGUGACUGAGGAUGUAACUCAGUUCAUACAGUGCUUGCCUAGGGCUAUGUAAAUCUUGUUUGUUGAGUCAGACCUGUAACCCCAACACUCAACUGGUGGACUGGAAGUUCAUGGACAUCUUUCACUAUCAAUUUGAGUUUGAGGCCAGCCCAAGCUACAUAAAGAAACAAGUAUUUAUUCAUUCAUAAGCCACAAUGUAAAAGCAAUGGCUUCAUGGGUUACCAACCUGGAAAUUAAUUUUUUCUCAACUGCCUUUAUUUAAAUAGAAAUUGGGGUUUGUGGAAACUGUGUUCAGGAGAAGAGCAGUUCUUUCUAAAAUGAAGGUGCACUUAGUUUAUUGCGUCUGUGCCUCAGAAGGCCGUGGUGCCGUCUGCAUGUGACGUCUUACCUGAAGAUAGAGUUCAUUCCCUUUAGAAAGUUUUGGAUAGAAAUGACGAAGUAUGGCUUCUUCUCAUAUGCAAUCUACCAUCAGGUAGUUGCCUAGAAAUGAUAAUAGUCAAUGGGGUAAUAUAGAAUAUAAAAUAUGAAUAUUAGGGUAGGGAAAUCUCUUCUAAAAAGUUGUAUUCAAGACUUUUGUUAUCAUUUGUUUGGUUCCCUGCACACCAGCUGUAAUAGCUGGAAAUGAUGAUGUAAAAUUUUCCUGUGUAUUGAAGUCAUUGAAGUUAUUACCAGGUUUACUUACCAACUUUAAAGCACCUGGAGUUUUACACUUUUGAUGUUUAGCAUGGCUAGGUCUGCAUCUGCUUGGCUUAUGAGAAUCCCCCAGGGUGGUCCCAGUAAACUCCUAUAGGAAGCAAGUCUGACUGUUCACCUGCGCUGUCUAUAAAUGGUGGCUUUCAAGACCUUACAAGUAAAUGGAAAGCACUUGCUCAACUGGCUUUAAAGUCUGGGAGAUCAGUAGCUGAACACUGAGCCGGGCCCUGAGUCUGUGAGCACUGAGCCGGGCCAUGAGUCUCUGUGAACACUGAGCCGGGCCCUGAGUCUCUGUGAGCACUGAGCCGGGCCAUGAGUCUGUGAGCACUGCCCUGGGCCAUGAGUCUCUGUGAAUACUGCCCUGGGCCAUGAGUCUCUGUGAACACUGAGCCGGGCCAUGAGUCUCUGUGAGCACUGCCCUGGGCCAUGAGUCUCUGUGAACACUGCCCUGGGCCAUGAGUCUCUGUGAACACUGACCUGGGCCAUGAGUCUCUGUGAACACUGACCUGGGCCAUGAGUCUCUGAACACUGACCUGGGCCAUGAGUCUCUGUGAACACUGCCCUGGGCCAUGAGUCUCUGUGAACACUGACCUGGGCCAUGAGUCUCUGUGAACACUGCCCUGGGCCAUGAGUCUCUGUGAAUACUGCCCUGGGCCAUGAGUCUCUGUGAAUACUGCCCUGGGCCAUGAGUCUCUGUGAAUACUGCCCUGGGCCAUGAGUCUCUGUGAACACUGACCUGGGCAUGGAGUCUCAGCUCUGAUUUCCUUUAUUUGCUCCAAGUUUCUGCUUGUAUUCCCAAAAUUAC